rnacentral:lncRNA from 1 species
AUUAUGAAUUGAAGAACCUGGAGAACGAUGAAGAACGAACCAGAUGCUGCAAAAGUAUAAUGUUGAGGAAGAUCCGACAGAUUCGGCUCCUCCUCCGCUCUCCUCUUCUCUCUCCCUAUUUUCUAGAUUAUAACUAGAACUAACUAGAACUAGAACUAGAGGAACUAGAACUAGAACUAGAUGAACUAGAACUAGAUCUAGAUGAACUAGAGGUAGAACUAGAAGAACUAGAGGGAUCCUCUCUACUUGGAUGAAGAAUUGAAACCCUAGCUUUGAUUCUGUAGAAGAGGUAUGAUCUCCAGGGGCCAGGAGGGUCUGGUUUUAUAGUCCCUUCAAGUGAAUCUGGGCCGUCGGAUCAAACCGACAUUGAUCGCACGGUUUUCCUUGAUCCUUUAGGUCGGUGGAGCGUUGUCCGCGAAACGUGUCCUGAUUGGGCACUGUAGCUGGGCGGGCGCCCAGGAGAGUUGGGCGGGCGCCCUGCCUCCGAGCUCGAUUUCCUUCCCGUUCGUUCCCGUGGCUUCUGGAGUCUUCUAGAUGAUAGAAAAUUGCGCGGCACGUUAAUAUCUCUAUGUAAACCCGACGUGUGGGCCUUUCUUCCGUAUUUCCUGAUAACCCCCUACAAAAAUAGACAAACACCAAAACUCGUGGAAUUCUGUCAGAUAAAACCCUAAGUCUAGGUGUUGGUUGCAUUUGGAUCCUUUUCCAUGAUUAAUUGAUAGUUAAUUGUGAGCAUUAAGGACCGUCAACAAGCUCCCCCAAGCUUAACCUUUGCUCGUCCCUGAGCAAAGAUGAACUCAAGAGUUUCUGCAGUGGUUUCAUAACUUAAAGAUACACAUGCGUUUAAACAAGAUCUCAUCUUUGGUUAGAGUAAACUGUUAAGACUUAAAACUUACUCAUUUACCUUUCACCAUGGGACUUGUAACCGUCACUUCUGUCUUGAGCAGUUAAAAGAUAGAACGGUCUAGUCAAGCGCCAUGUCUCUUGUUCUUCGAUUAACUAUAGCUCUAGAGUUUUUGCAGAUUUUCAAAUAAAACUCAGAGAUUCCUUGUAUGACUCUCUCUAGUCUCUCUUUUGUGGUAUUUCUGGAUCCUUACCAAGGCAGUAAAGGUGUAUGCCUUCUCUCAAAGUAUGUGGUAUUUUUGGUAUGAGUCAUAGUGACAUUGCCUUCUCUCUCACCCUACUCUAAUAAGGUUUUGAUAUCUGGAGCUCAUAGGUGGGAGACAGCUAAUACAUACUUACAAGACAUUUAUUGCAUAGUCAAACCAUGGAUCCAGAAGAACAAGUCAAUAAGUCAAAUCAAGAUGUGCAUGUGUGGCGAAUGAAUGGUGUAUGGUGAUGAUGGUGAUAACAAUGGUGAAAGUCUAAUUCUACUUGUGCUCUUUUGAGGGGAUACAUACCUUUCUUGCUGUUUUGAAACUUUUUGAGGAGAAUGAGAUGCUCUAUAUUUUCUUUUUUUUUCUUUUCUCUCAGGUGGGUAUCUUGUACCCCUAAUUCUACUGUCGGACACUUGUCCAUUUUUACCUCUCGUCUCACUUUUUUUUCUUUCGAGGUUCCGGGCACUUGCCCCUUUUUAUUUCCUUGUAUUCACUUUUUUUUUCUCUCUCUCUUCUUUUUUUAGAGCACUCAUCUCAUGAGAUAAUAUAGCAAGUGGUAGUAACCAAGAUAACUUGAGCAUUUAUUUCAAAGGGGAAAACAGAAAUAUUUUUGGCUAUUCUCUCCCAGAUUAGGAGUAGAAUAUUUUUGAGUGGUUGUGGAGAUGGAAAUGAGUGGAUGUAUGUGGAUGCGUAGAAGCAGCAUGUGUGAGUGAACGUGCAAAUGAAUCUUGAUUUAACCACAUGACAAGCUCCUAAGGGUCUACACAGCUUGACCACACUCAAUGCUCAUAAGCAGUAAAAAGUAAAUGUGUGGCUCAUAGUCUAGCAAGCAUGUAUAUAUGGCUGUGGUAGAAAUUUAAACUCUCAUCAUACAGGAACUCAUCAUGCAACAAUUUAAAGAUUUUCAAAGACAAAAUUCUCCAGAAUUCUAGCAUCUCUAGGAAUAGAUAAACAGCAGCUCAACCUUCCCAUAUCAUAUCCGUUAACGACUUAGAAGUUAUAUCAAAUACUCUUCCCACAAGUUCAGGUUUAGAGCAAAUCUUAAUUAAUAACAGUCAUGCCUAAACUUGAGAGAGAUUUCAAUUUUGAGAACUAGUCAUGACAGAGCAACUAUUCAUCAUUUCCAAGUGAGAGCUUAUCAUGAGGGUUCAUAGCAAAUUUUAUUUAUUUAUUUAUUUAGCAAACUAAGAAAAGAUAUAUAUGCACAAAAUCUUUAUUUAGGUUUAUAUGAUUAUGCAUCUUUUUAUUAUUAGAGUAAAGUAUAAACGUGAGUAGAAUACUUAGCUGGAUAAAUGGGGGUGCUCUCCCCUAAACUGGAUUUGACGCAAUUUCUUCUAAUGUAGCUAGCAGGUGGCGGAGGUGUAUUUGAAUGUCGGCAGCACCCUGACAGUGAUUAGGAUGCCCUCCGUCUACUAGUCUUCUUUGAUCCUUGAAUUCUGUGGAGCUCAAAUAGACAACAAAGCUUUGUGGAACUAGUUAAGUGUUAGCAUAAAUAUCUAGCCUUUAUCAUGUUGAGCCUCCUCAAUAAAUGUUACUCUCUUUAGUAGGAUCAUAAAUUUAUUUUUAUAUUUUCAUUUAUAUAGGACAGGAAUAUAUAUAUUUAUUUUUACGCCACCACAGUGAAUGUACUUAUGGGUUUUAUGCCAUGAGCAUACUCACAUGGGGCUUACUAUUUUUAACAUUUUUAUUUUCUUUUCAAGAUAGCAUGAACCUGGUUAACUAAGCAAACUAUUUUAAAUAAUUGAAAGGAAAAGGAUAACUACCAAGUUUACCUCUUGGCAAGGCGUUCGGUGUUUUUAAGUCCUCCGAACGAGACUCUCUGUUUUCUCAAUCGUCCUGGGAUUCGAUGGAUGGCGUAGUCGGUGGUUCCGGCGGUGCCUGGUCUUCGUGUAUAACUAUCUUCUCUCUCCACACCUGACUCGGUGCUACGGUAUCCUCAGGACAGUUCUGUUCAAGCUUUAUGUCUUCAGACCUUACAACUUCUCCUUCAUAGUCUACCCAUCCGUCCUUGAUGAUUUUGCCUUCUCUGGUUACGGUUGCGUCGUCUUCUUCUUGUCCUGACCUGCUUAGAGUCGUCAACUAUAUAAUUAAGGUCAGUAAAAUAGCGGCGUACCUUGUUAGAGGGCAAGUUCAUGUGGACUUCUCCGGUUCCAAUGUAGAUGAUUGCUUUAACGGUGCUGAGGAACGGUCUCCCAAUGGUGAUGGGUGGAUUGUACUCGUCUUCUCCCAUGUCAAUAACCUUAAAAGCAUCUGGAGCUGAAUGUAUGUUGGUUGUAGGGACAUGGUUCUAUGCAGGAGCUGAUAAGUGACUGCGGCCAUUAUGUUGACGUUAGAUCCGGUGUCGUAGAGUGUCUUCUGAAAAGAAUAUCCGUUGAUUGUGCACUCGAUGCUUGGCAUGCCUGGGUCGUCCUUUUUGGUCAGGAACGGUGACUUAAAUAGAUGAUCUUGACCUCCUUGAACUGCAGUGACCAUCUUAGCUGACUCGGUCCACACUUGCUUGUUCCUGUUCCUCCUGUUGGUCCUCUUCCUUGGUUCAUGUCGGAAAUGCUCUGAGAUUUGUGUAGUUUUGUUCUUGAAGGAAAACAUCUCCUUCUUCCCCUUGAUGUAGAAACUGAUCUUGGCAGCACUAGUGUAGAUGAUAGCUCCCAAGGUGUUCACGAAUGGCCUCCCUAGGAUGAUGGGUGCCCUCUCAUCAGUAUCAGUCUCUAUCACCACCAAGUCUAUUGGAGCGUAUAAGAUACCAACUCGGACGUAGAGGUUCUUCAAUAUUCCCUUUGGGAAACUUAGUGUCUGAUCUGCAAGCUGCAAACACAUGGUUGUUUCUUAUAAAGGAUGUGUAAAGAAUUUUUCAUAGAGUACCCUGGGCAUAAUGUUGAUGCUGGAGCCAAAGUCACAGAGUGCUUCUGGGAAGUCCACCAUGCCGAUGGAGAUCGGGAUGACAGGGCGUCCUGAUUGUCUCUCUUGACCGACAGAAAUUCAGUAAUUACUUCCACAAUGAGGUUACUCCAGUAGUUACAUCCUCAAGCAUCUCAGGGCAGUGUUUGCAUGAGUGUCCAGUAUCUCCAGCGUGUUUGUGCUCAUAGAUCGAUGUUCUUCACUUUGGUGGAGUCUGGGAGUUGUAAAACUCCUUCAUAUUUUGCUCAAAGUGUACCUACUCAUAGAGACAAGGCAGAGAUCAAGUGCAUGGGCCCUGUUGGUGGAAAACACCAACAGAACCAAAAGUGUAUUUGCUCUUCUCUAUCCUUAAGCAUAGUGAGCAAGACAAAGUUGAUGGAUAAUAAGAUCAUAAGUGUAGCAUUUAAAAUAUUUGUCAGAUCAGAUCACUCAACCUAAUGGAAAGAUAAUCUAUCUAUACAUAUGUUUUGUUUAUAUCUUCCAAAGAUUGAGUGUGCAACAUUUUAGCUUAUAUGAUUAGGAGUAUGGGAUCACAAAGGUGGAAGGUCUAAACAUGUUGAAUCGAUUAGGUUGGUUAAUCUAGAGUUGUAAAUCAUACAUGUUUGUCUCUUUUAUUCAUGUGAACGCCAGAACAAAGGAGAAGCUUAUAAAAGUGAUAGUCAAGUACCUUAAGAUGUUACCUUACUUGAAGAGUGAUGGUACAGUAUCACCUUGUGGAAGCUUUCCUCUCUUAGCGGUUGUGCAUCGUGUUUGUGGCACCUCCAUGGAUCAUCUCUUGUGAGCUAUGCCUUCCUUGUGUAAAUUGUUAAACUUCAUGUGUGUCUCUCUUUGUCUCCAAUGUGAGUUUAUCUAAGGACUUUCCAGGUCGAUAUUGAAAGUUUUCCUACAGGGGUUAGUCCAACAAAAUAUACCAAUGUCUACACAAGCAGUUUUUAGUUCAAUAACCAAACUAGACUCCAUGUCUAAUUAGAUUAAGGAAGGCUGUUUAACCUAAGCACCAUGCUUAAUUUAAAAACCAAUAGAAGUAUGUACAGUACUUCCAAACUAACACUUACUAGGAUAAACAAAGGUAGCGUGAUGGCUUUUAUAGAGAUCUAUUCAAGUGGAGAUGAAGUAGUGUGAUUAGUAUUUAACAAAUUGAGCAUGUCUCAAAGGUAGGGACAACCAACAUAGCAACAUGGCAAAGGAUGUUUUUAAUGUAAAGUACUCCCCCAAGCUUGAAUUUUGCAAAAUUCAAGUUUGGAUGAAUUUAAUUCAAUGUUGUAUGAUGAUUGGUUGGACAUACCUUGUGCUUGUCAUUCAUCCGAUCUUCUUGCUCCAAUCCUGAAAAGGUUAGUGACAAGAAUACCCGAAGGAAUUUUUUACAAUUAUCCUUAUAUGCUCAAUACACAAGGUAAUGUUGUAAAUAAUUAAAAGCUCAUGUUACGAUCUGAUCAGUGCUUAUUUUAGGACACUAAGCUUGUCCUUGGGAAACCAUCAAUUUAUGUCAGUGAAGUGGUUUCCCCUCCAACGCUGACCUAUAUCAAGAUCAACUCAACGAGAUCUGCAAUAUUUAAUAUAGACAUAUGCAUCGACAACCGCCCUUUUAAAGUUUUUAUGAAUAGAAAGGAAGAGGGGGUUGGAGAUCUCAAAUGUGGUGAUGCUGAGAGACCAAUGGAUUGUGAAGAUGUUGCAUAUAAGCAUGGAGUAAAUGAAGUGGCUAUGAAAUAAAUUCCAUGCUCAUUAAUGCUUAGAGUGAAAUCCAUGUGGUAUGGUGAAAGUGAUAAGGUGAGUGUGGUAAAAAAAGAAAAGAAAAAGGAUACACGGACGACUUGGUUCGAAACUAGCACAACUACCAUUCCCCGGCAACGGCGCCAGAAAGCUUGUUGGGCAUUUUAAACGCAAACAGAAAAAUCCGCAAGCGCACGGAUACCGAUGUAGCCUUCACCCGGGAGUAUUCCAGAGUAUCGAUUUUCCACAGAGAACGUGAGUGUACUAAUUAAGAUCCAAGAUCGCCCAAGGAUAACUAUAUAAUUAUUUUUGGUGGGAAGAGAAGAAGUUUCCUGAGAGUUCUCUAGUUGAUCUAAGAAUCAAGAAUUACUUCAAGAUUAUCUAUAUCGGGACAUCAGAGCACUAACCACAGAAAGAGAUGAGAAGGGGGCUAGGAAGGUCUGACUACGGUCCUACAAACACCGAUCCGAACGUGGUGGAAUACGUCGACCGUUAGGGCUGUCACUACCCUAAGGCUACCACAACAAUCCGCAGGAUUGGGUGCAAUUCCAGGUAAUUGCAAGACUAAACACCACGUCUAAUCUAUUAAUUACUACUCUAGCGUUAUAAAGACUAGAGCACUUGAUGCAAGCGGGAAUCCAAUAAAUAACUUGAAUAUAAAUAAAAGUAAUUAGAGAACUCAGGAUUAUGAAUUGAAGAACCUGGAGAACGAUGAAGAACGAACCAGAUGCUGCAAAAGUAUAAUGUUGAGGAAGAUCCGACAGAUCCGGCUCCUCCUCCGCUCUCCUCUUCUCUCUCCCUAUUUUCUAGAUUACAACUAGAACUAACUAGAACUAGAACUAGAGGAACUAGAACUAGAACUAGAUGAACUAGAACUAGAUCUAGAUGAACUAGAGGUAGAACUAGAAGAACUAGAGGGAUCCUCUCUACUUGGAUGAAGAAUUGAAACCCUAGCUUUGAUUCUGUAGAAGAGGUAUGAUCUCCAGGGGCCAGGGGGGUCUGGUUUUAUAGUCCCUUCAAGUGAAUCUGGGCCGUCGGAUCAAACCGACAUUGAUCGCACGGUUUUCCCUGAUCCUUUAGGUCGGUGGAGCGUUGUCCGCGAAACGUGUCCUGAUUGGGCAUUGUAGCUGGGCGGGCGCCCAGGAGAGUUGGGCGGGCGCCCUGCCUCCGAGCUCGAUUUCCUUCCCGUUCGUUCCCGUGGCUUCUGGAGUCUUCUAGAUGAUAGAAAAUUGCGCGGCACGUUAAUAUCUCUAUGUAAACCCGACGUGUGGGCCUUUCUUCCGUAUUUCCUGAUAACCCCCUGCAGAAAUAGACAAACACCAAAACUCGUGGAAUUCUGUCAGAUAAAACCCUAAGUCUAGGUGUUGGUUGCAUUUGGAUCCUUUUCCAUGAUUAAUUGAUAGUUAAUUGUGAGCAUUAAGGACCGUCAACACACACUCACCGCACCGGACGCACAGAGGCAGCGUCCGGUGCUCCUCUGAGCACUUUUUCAACUAAGUACCACGUCCGACUUUGACCCAACCAAGUUCCAUCUUCAAUAACACACAAAUAAACACCAAAUGGAAUUGGUAUGAGUGACUUCUCUCAAACCCUCAAAUUUUCACAAAUAUUUAGCCAUAGGCUUAGUAGUUUUUAUGAAAAUAAUUCGAGAAAAUCACCAAGGAGCAUCAUAUGGCCAUAAAGCUUGGGGUUUAAAUCACAAUGGGCUUUGAAUGCUCCCCCUAUCUAAGGACGAACACAGCGGAUGCUCAACGAACAACCGAAAAGAAACGGUCAACUAACAAGCAUGCAUAUGAUAUGAGUUGUAAUGCAAUACUUGAAAGUAAACUAAUGCUUGUCAAGUUUGAUCCAAGGUUAAGCUUUUUCACACACACAAGGGGGUUAUCUUAACCAUGUUAGACAAGCCCUAUAUGCAAGUUGGAUUUUAGUUUUAGUAUGCAUGAUAUGCCAAGCAAAAGUUAUUUACAAGAUUCAACACACAACUUUUUAUCUCUUAAUGAAGUUGGAUAGGUCAAGCACAUUAAGUUCAUUUCUCAACAUACAAAACCUAGCUUCAUCUAGGGGUUUUGUGAAGAUAUCCGCCAAUUGAUUUUCCGUUCCCACAUUCUCUAGAGAUAUGUCACCUUUAGCAACAUGAUCCCUAAGGAAGUGGUGGCGGAUGUCAAUAUGUUUUGUGCGGGUGUGUUGAACCGGGUUGUUUGCAAGUUUUACAGCACUUUUGUUGUCACACAACAAAGGUACUUUGUCUAGUACUACUUCAUAGUCUAGCAAAGUUUGUUUCAUGUAGAGUAUUUGUGCACAACAAGCACCGGCAGCAAUGUAUUCCGCCUCGGCCGUUGACAAGGCAACACUAUUUUGUUUCUUUGACAUCCAAGAGACAAGUGAUCUACCUAGGAAAUGGCACUCUCCGGAUGUGCUUUUUCUAUCAAUCCGGCACCCGGCAUAAUCCGAAUCGGAAUAGCCUACAAGUUGGAAUCUUGCACCUUUGGGAUACCACAAGCCUAGGCAAGGUGUGUAUUUUAGAUACCUAAGAAUUCUCUUGACCGCGAUCAAGUGAGAUUCCAUAGGCAUUGCUUGAUAUCUUGCACACAUACACACACUAAACAUUAUAUCGGGCCUAGAUGCGGUGAGGUAGAGUAGACUUCCUAUCAUGGAGCGAUAGAGAGUCUUGUCAAUUGGGUUACCUCCCUCAUCCAAGUCGAGAUGCCCAUUUGAUGCCAUGGGAGUCUUGAUUGGCUUGCAAUCCAUCAUCUUGAACCUCUUGAGAAGAUCUUGAGUGUACUUCUCUUGAGAGAUGAAGACCCCUUCCUUCAUUUGCUUGACUUGAAAUCCUAGGAAGAUGGAUAGCUCACCAAUCAUGGACAUCUCAAACUCCUUGGACAUCAAAUCACCAAAUUCCUUGCAAAAAUCUUCAUUAGUAGAGCCAAAAAUAAUAUCAUCAACAUAAACUUGGCAAAUGAAGAUUUCCCCAUUCAUUUUCUUGGUGAAGAGUGUUGUGUCAACUUUCCCAAUCUUGAAGCCCUUCUCAAUGAGGAAGUCCCUAAGCCUCUCAUACCAAGCUCUAGGAGCUUGCUUGAGACCAUAGAGAGCCUUAGAUAACCGGUAGACAUGCUUGGGGUACCUAGGGUCUUCAAAACCGUGGGUUGCUCAACAUAGACAAGCUCAUUAAUAUAUCCAUUUAAAAAGGCACUUUUCACAUCCAUUUGAAAUAACUUGAUAUCAUGACUAGAUGCAUAUGCAUGUAGGAUACGGAUUGCUUCAAGUCUUGCCACCGGUGCAAAGGUUUCACCGAAGUCAAGACCUUCCACUUAUGAAAAGCCCUUUGCCAUGAGCCUUGCCUUGUUGCGCACCACUUUGCCUUGAUCAUCCUUCUUGUUCCGGAAGACCCACUUUGUUCCAAUCACUCUUGCAUCUUUUGGUCGCUCUUCAAGUGUCCAUACUUGAUUGCGCGAGAAGUUGUUCAACUCCUCUUGCAUGGCCAUGAUCCAAUCCGCAUCACGAAGAGCUUCCUCUAUAGUUUUUGGUUCAUCUUCAAGAGACACAAAAGCGUGAUGUUCAAUAAAUAAAGCAUGUCUAGAACGAGUAGUUACACCACGUGAUGGACUCCCGAUGAUGAGAUCUUGAGAGUGAUCUUGGAGGAGAUGUGAUGUUCUUCUUGGUGCCACUUGAGGGAUUGGUUGGGGAGCAUCAACAUCUUGUGCUUGUGCCACCGCUUGCUCAUGAGUGACUUGUGUGUCUUCAUGAGCAUCUCUCACAUCCUUGUCUUCAUUUUGUGGACCUUGUGAGGUGGAUGGUGGCUCAAUGACUUGUACAUCAUUAUCAUCUUCUUUAGGCUUGAUGUCUCCCACGGGUAUGUUCUUCAUCGCAUCCCUCAAUGGUUCCCCACCUACAUCAUCAAGAUUAUCACUUGCUCCUUGGGAGCCAUUAGUUUCGUCAAAUUCAACAUCAAAAGUUUCUUCAACCAUGUUUGUGGCAUGGUUAAAGACUCUAUAUGCCUUGGACUUUGAUGAAUAGCCAACCAAAUAGCCAAUGUCACAUCUUCUUUGGAAUUUUCCCAAGUGUUGGCGCUUCUUGUAGAUGUAGCAUUUGCAUCCAAACACUCUAAAGAAUGAGACAUUGGGCUUCUUCCCAUUGAGCAACUCAUAUGGUGUCUUCUCUAGGAACUUGUGAGGAAAGAGCCGGUUUGAAGCAUAGCAUGCGGUGUUGAUUGCCUCGGCCCACAUCUUCUCCGAAGUGUUAUACUCAUCUAGCAUUGUUCUUGCCAAGGUGAUCAAUGUCCGGUUCUUUCUUUCUACAACCCCAUUUUGUUGUGGUGUGUAUGUUGAGGAGAACUCAUGCUUGAUUCCCACUUCAUCACAAUACUCUUCAAUGUUGGUGUUGUCAAACUCAUUGCCAUUGUCACUUCUAAUUUUCUUGAUCUUCACAUCAAAUUGAUUUUGGGCAUUCUUUGCAAACUUCUUGAAUAUUGAUGCAACUUCAGCUUUGUCUUGCAAGAAGAAUGUCCAAGUGUACCGAGAGAAAUCAUCAACUAUGACCAAGCAAUAUUUGUUGCCUCCAAGACUAGCAUAUGUGGUUGGUCCAAACAAAUCCAUAUGAAGUAGCUCAAGCACUAUUGAAGUGGAGAGAUAGGCUUUGGUUGGAUGAGUGUUCGCAACUUGUUUCCCCGCUUGACAUGCACUACAAAGCUUGUCUUUUUCAAAUGUCACAUCCUUCAAGCCUCUAAUCAAUUCUUUCUUCAUCAACUUCUUGAGUGUGCCCAUUCCAACAUGUGCUAACCUUCUAUGCCACAACCACCCAAGUGAAGUCUUGGUGAAUAAGCAAGUCUUGACAUCAACUUCAUCGGAUGAGAAAUCAACUACAUAUAAGUUGUUGUGCCAGAAGCCUUUGAAAAUCACUUCAUUGUCAUCUUCCUUGGUCACAAUUACUUCCUUCUUCUUGAAUAGGCAUUCAAAUCCAAGGUCACAUAAUUGUCCAACCGAGAGCAAGUUGAAACUCAAAGAUUGCACAUAGAGCACAUUGGUGAUGGAGUUGUCAUUUGAUAUAGCAACCUUUCCUAGUCCCUUGACUUUUCCUUUUGAAUUGUCACCAAAUGUGAUCUUCUCUUGGUUGUCAACAUCUUCAUCAAGAGAGGUGAACAUCCGAGGAUCUCCAGUCAUAUGUUGAGUGCAACCACUAUCAAUUACCCAAUGUGAUCCACCGGUCUUGUAGUUCACCUACACACAAGAGAUCAAGCUUGAGAUUUAGGGACCCACAUUUGCUUAGGGCCCUUGACCUUCUCUACUAGUUGCUUUGGCACCCAAAUCUUCUUUGGCCUUUGCUUGUUGGGCGGCCCCAUGAAGCUAACCUUGACCUUGCCACACUUGUCUUUUGUUACAAUGUAAUGAGCAUUGAAGGAAAAUGGUCUUGCAUGCUUGGGCAAGGGUGGUGGUAGUGGUGCCUUACACUCAUGAGCAAAGUGUCCUUCUUGACCACACUCAAAGCAUCUCUUUGGCUUUGGCUUGCUUGGUUGAUCAUGAGUGGCUAGAGACUUGAUGAGCUUUGUUUGAUGACCUUUAUAGCCAAUCCCACUAUUGUCCAUCUUCAUGACGGUGUUCAUGAAAAGCUCACUUUGAAGGUCUUUCCCUUUGGUGAACUUUGCUAACCCCAUGGUUAAAUGUUCCUUCUCUUUCUUGAGCUUGUUGUUCUCUUGAGUUAGCUUCUUGAUGAUUGGGUCAUUGUUGCUAGCUAACUCAUCCAAGAUGAAAGUUUCAUCUUCUUCUUGCUUGUCAUACAUCAAACCAAGCUUGAGAUAUUGAUUUUCUUCCUCGAGCAACUUGUUCUCAUAUGCAAGCUUCUUAUCUUGGUCAAGUGACUCAAUCACAAUGGUCUUGUGCUUGACUUGUUCUUGCAACUCUUUCUUGAGCUUGACAAUUUCAUUCUUGAGCUUGAUAGUGUCCUCAUAGCUCUCGGCCACUACCACUUUCUUGCCCUUGCAAUCAACACAUUUGCUUGUGCUCUCCACAAGUAAGUCAUCACAAGAUGUGGCUACAUCAAGCUUAGCAACAUUGUUAGUAGCAACAUGUGUUUCAUCAAUUGCAAGUUCAUAAGCAAUCUCAAGGUUGUCAUAGUUUGCUUUUAGAGUUGUUAGCUCUUCUUUCAUUGCUCUAUAUCUAGUGAUAAGCUCAUCAUGAACACUCUCAAGUUUAUCAUGUUUUUCUUUGAGCUCUUUUAGAGAGAGUUUGAGCUCCUUGAGCUUGGUGGUCAUGAUCUCAUUUUGGUCUCUAAGCUCAUCACUAGAUUUAAGCUUUGCUAGAAGAGUGUCAUUUUCAAGUUAAAGCUUUUCAUUUUCACUUCUAGUUUUUCUUAUGACUUUUGUGUACUUGUUUAGAAUUUUACAAGUUCAUCAUAAGAAGGUGAUUCAUAUUCACUAUCACUUUCACUACUCUCAUCCUCACUUUGUACCUUCCGGUCACCCUUAGCCAUAAAACAUAGGUGUGUAGAGGAUGUAGAUGGUGGUGAAGAUGAUGGUGAUGGAGCAUCGAUGGCAAUGGCGGCAACCUUCUCAUCAUCACUUUCAUUGCCGGAGGAGUCACCACUUGAGCUUUCAAUGUCGGUGAGCCAAUCACCAACAAUGUAGGCCUUGCCAUUCUUCUUCUUGUAGUGCUCCUUCUUCUUGCCACCUUUCUUCUUGUAUUGCUUCUUCUCAUUCUUGUCAUCAUCAUUUGAGUCAUCUUGCUCUUUGUUCUUCUUUUUGUACUUGUCCUUCUUGGGCUUUGGACAUUGACGAGCAAGAUGACCAAGCUCACCACAAUUGUAGCAAUCCAUCUCGGAGAUGGGCUUCCUCUUGCUACUUGUGAAGAACUUCUUCUUCUUGGAGUCAAAGUUGACUCCAUUCUUGUUGAGCUUCUUCAACAUCUUUGUGGUUCUUCUCACCAUGAGGGCAAUAGAUGCAUCAUCAUCACUUGAAGUUGAUGACUCAACUUCAUUCUUCUUAGCCUUGCCCUUGUGAGAAGCCUUGAGAGCCAAGUCCUUCUUCUCUUUCUUGGCCGAUGAGGAGCCAUCUUGGGGGUUCAUGUGCAUGUACAUCUCAUGAGCAUUGAUCUUUCCCAAUAUGGCGGUUGGUGUAGCGGUGGAAAGAUCUUCUUGAUGAAGCACCGUUACUAUGUGCCCAUAUUUUUCAAUGGGAAGCACACAUAGUAUUUUCCUUGCUACAUCCGCCGCAUUCAUUUGAGUGAGUCCAAGUCCAUUUAGCUCCUCUACAAUGACAUUCAAGCGAGAAUACAUUUCAUUAGCAUUUUCUUUGGGAAGCAUUUCAAAAGUAUUAAGCUUGUUCAUCACUAAGUGAUAGCGUUCCUCGCGUUCACUCUUUGAUCCCUCAUGGAGCGCACAAAGUUCCUUCCAAAGAGCAUUGGCGGUUUUGUGGCUCCGAACGCGGUUGAACACCUCCUUGCAAAGGCCUCUAAAGAUGUGGUUUUUGGCCUUCGCAUUCCACUUCUCGUUUUCUUGCUCUUGUGGAGUAAGAGCGGUGGCUCUUUCCAGAGGGGCAAACCCUUCGGUCGUGGCUUUUAGGCACUUUACAUCGCAUGCCUCAAGGUAUGACUCCAUCCGUAUUUUCCAAUACGGGAAGUCAUCCCCAUCGAACAUGGGUGGCGGUCCAUCCCCGUUAGACAUCUUUCUCUAGGCGGUGAAGCCUAAAUAAUGAGCACUAGGCUCCGAUACCAAUUGAAAGGAUCAAGAUGCCCAAGAGGGGGGUGAAUUGGGCUUCUCUAAAAAUUUAAGCAACCUAUAAGCUCCAAUUCAACCCCUUGUGCCUAGUGUGACCUAGAGAGCUACCGGAUAAAAAGUUUUGCAACCUAGUUCCAAUCCUAUUCUAGCAUGGCAAUUCUAAGAAUGUAAAAGCACAAAGUAAAUGCUAGAAAGUAAAGGAGUAGUGGAAGAAAAUGCUCGGCGAUGUUUUGCCGAGGUAUCGGAGAGUCGCCACUCUCCACUAGUCCUCGUUGGAGCACCCGCGCAAGGGUCUUGCUCCCCCUUGGUCCGCGCAAGGACCAAGUGCUCUCUACGGGCUGAUUCUUCGACACUCCGUCGCGGUGAAUCGCCCAAAACCGCUCACAAGCUUGACACGAGCCACCCACAAGAACUCCGUGCGGUCUUCGUGCCUCCAAUCACCACCGAACCGUCUAGGUGAUGGCGAUCACCAAGAGUAACAAGCAAAUAACACUCACUUGACCCAAACAAGGCUCUAGAGAGUGGUGGAUGCACACUUGACUCUUGGAACUCACUAGAGAAGGAUUCUCUCAAGAAAUCACUCAAACUUCAAUCCUCUCUAGGCUCUUGCAACUCUCUUGCUCCACAACAAGUUUAAUUCUCUGAUGUUCAAAUGGGCAAGAGACCUCUCAUGGACGAGGUGGAGGAGUAUAAAUACUAUCCACGAAGUCUAAAGGUCGGCCAACCGUUUUCCACUGAAAACGGGGUCACCGGACGCACAUUAUGUUGCACCGGACGCACUGCACCGAGCGUCCGGUGCUUCAUAACGGCUACCAGAACUUCUCCCUGACAGGUCAUCGGACACUAACUCCCAGCGUCCGGUGCACCGUCCGGUGCUCGGGGGAACUUUACAAGCUCCCUGCGCAUGGGACCGGACGCUACCCGGUGCGUCCGGUGCUCAGGGAAGGCUUGCAACCUCCCUGGGUAUGGGACCGGACGCUACCCGGUGCGUCCGGUGCUAGCGUCCGGUGCCUAACCCUAAGCACCACACUGUUCCAACGGCUAAGGACCUCACCGAACGCACUCACAGAGCGUCCGGUGCCCCUUUGGGAACCCAAACUUCGUCGAAACGCGAUCGCUCCAAAACGAAGUUGGUUCCUCUCGAUCUAAGGACUAUCUCUGAGCUGCCUAGUGCUAGGUUUACCAAGUGUGCACCACACCUAAACCUAAAGCCUUGCCUAAGUCAAGCUACUAGAUCAAAGCCCCUCUUAAUAGUACGGUCAAAGGAAAACAAAGUCCUAAACUAUUCUAAGUGCCCUUCUUCAUCAUAUGGCACUUAGACCUAGUCUAGUCUUGACGAUGUCCAUCCAUCCUUUGAAAACCGAAAACGAUUUCCACUAUUAAGUAGGCAUGUUCAUCCCUGUCCAUCGAGUACCUAUUUACCAUGACCUUACCUAUGACUUUGCCUCUGCAAAACACACGUUAGUCAUAGUAAUCAAUAAUGUCAUUAAUCACCGAAAUCACUAGGGGCCUAGAUGCUCUUUCACCAGGGAACUCCUCAGUACACACAUCUGUUACCCAUCCGGGAUUUUCAUUGAAAUAUAAACAAGUGUAAGCGCACCAUGCUUAGCAAGUAUAACAUCGAGGUAUAUAUAGGCUCAAAGGCUUGACUCAGUUUAAUAGCGAUUAGCAUUUUAGUUGGUCAUAUUUUAUUACCCAAGACUUGUUACUUUUAAUGAGAGACCAACCCUGGUUACAUAAGUGUUAAUCAAAGUUAUUACCUUUCCCAAGUAUAGCCAAGUAACCGCUAACCAAGAAGGAUCCAGGCCGCUCAUGACCGAGAGCUCGGCUGUUAUAACAGGUUUAGAUUUCUGCAGAAAUUGUACAACUUUACCCCCGAGCCGUGGUUCCCUAGUGUUGGGGUUUGCAAGGCCCACACCACUUCUACCGAGGAAGUGUGACCAGGUUCCAUUACUUAACCUUUCACUAGUCACCCUAACAAUAUAGUAGCCGCGAGGUUUCAGUGGCAAGUGUGCAUAGAUGGCCUCCUUCAAGAGGCACAUGUGGUCGCGACACUGUACACACCCAGGUAGGAGUGACAUCUAUACACCACGAGGCACCCCCCUCUAGCGCCUUUCGGUAACUAAUAAACUGCUAGAGACAUACUAGUUAUAUGAUUAAGGUCAGAGCCAUUUGACUCUCGGGAUUGUACGUGACCUCCUGGGUGGCCGCUUCAGGAUUAAGUCCUUAUGGAGAGGAAUCUAGAGCUUGCAAAACCGAAGCUCUAGCCCCCUGAACCAAGUUACUAGAACAUAUUUUAUCACAUUGCAUAUACCAAUUAAUCAGGUUAAUUUAUUAACUUGGGUUUUUCAGCGUAGCAGGAACUACCUAAAUAAAUGCACACCUUCCCAUGGGUAUCAAGGAUUUGUGGUACAAAAUUAUCUAGGUAAAGUCCUUAUAGGUAUUUCAAUUUAGACACAUGCAUAUGUAUGAAUUAAAUAAUAUUCAUAGGUACAAGGAAGCCUAUAUUACACUUGCCUUCCUCAAAAUUUUCCUCCUGGUAGAGCUCCACAAACUGCUCCUCAACCACUCCAACCUGAUCUCCUUCUAUUAACGAUCCAAACACCAAUCAAGCAUCCAGUCCAAUCAUCACAUGCAUACAAAUAAAGUUCUAUUAGAACAGUACACCAAACAGUAAAAACAGUGACUGAAAGAUAUAUAAAUCUACUCUACGCCUUUCUACGAACACAUGACCGAAAGAAUCACUCUAAUCGGACUUAAAACGUGAAAGUUAUGCAUAAAACAAAAUGAAUGGCAUUUAUGUGAAUAAACUGAAUCAAAAACGAAUUUAAAAGAACUAAAACUAAAUUUCCAAUGGUUCUAGACUACGUGCACUAUUAUAUAAAAGUAUAGGGUUUAAAACAGAAGAAAACAUGAUUAAAAAGAAAUACUUUUGAACUAAGUUGGACUGCGGGUUGAUUUGCUUGAAACAGGGGGGUUAAAGCGCAAAACUCCCAGUGGUCCGCGGCUGACCGCGCUGCUGGCCGGCAGAGGGGCCACGUGGCGUGCUGGGGUUGGCUCGGUCCACCACUGUGCGCGUGGACCGGCCGACCGAGCGCCCGUGGACCGCGCCCAUGGCCCACGGUGGACCGGUUACAUAACUCCGAAGGGGUAUGUAAUCUGGGCCGUUAGAAACAGAUCGGAUGGCCCUGGAUGAAAGGAGGCGGGGCGCUCGCCUGAGCCGAGGCUGACCAUUGCGGCGCCAUUGCCGCCGACGAGGUGAGCUCCUCGGAGCUCGCCGGAAACACGUUCCCGGCCACGCCAAAUAAAAAGGAGACUACCACGGUGACCAGCGCGACGAGGCGAACACGAUAGGGUAAAAAGAAAGGGCGGGGAGCACGUCGGGACGACGGCCCCGUGGUGGCGCCACUUCCACACCCUCGGAGAGCCUCGGAUUCGGUGUUAGAGCGCCCUAAAUUCACGAUUAAAGACAUGGGGAGCAUCGGGGCUAUACCGUGGUCCCGUUGGAGGUGUUCGCAGCGUCCGAGAAAACUCCGAGCGGCGUGGCCACGAGCGAGGCGGGCUGGGAAGAGAGAGACAGCGAUGGUGAGCUCGGUUUCGACCAAAUCGUGAAGAAAGGUAGAGGGGAAGUGUACCUACGGCCGCGGUAUCGCCAGGCGAAUGUGUUGUGCACGUUCGCAGCGUCCACCGUGCCCUUAAGACGGAGAAUUUGGGGGGGUUGAGCUUGGUUCACGAACGGAAGGAGGAAAGGAGAGCUCGGCCGCGAGCUUUAUAGGGCGAGCAGGGGCACUGAGGGGGCGAACACUCGGGCGAUUAAGCCCGGCAUCAAGGCGGCUUGAAGGCCGAUUGAUGGCCUCCAUCAAUCGGAGCUUGAAGGCUGGGGGGAAAGAAGUGAUGGCGUUGAAUGUCGCCGUGCUCUCGGCUCAGCGAGGAAGAAAGGGGAGACGCUGACAAGCGGGCCCCACGGCGCAGUGAGAGAGAGAUGGGAAGGGAGAGCGCCGAUAGGCGGGCCCUACUGCGCAGUGAGAGGGAGAAUGGGGAGGGCGCGCGGGCUGUCCGCGUCGGAGCGGGCCGCGCCACUGGGCUGUGUGCGCGUCGCGGGCGAGGGGCGGGGAGCUGGGCCGCCAACGGCCCAAGGCCAGGGGUGAGCGCGGGGUAUAGCUGGGCCAGGGUUUGGGGCCGGGCCAAAAUCGGUGAAGGGGAUAAAAAUAAAAGAGAAACUCUUUUAUAUUUUUCAGAGCUGUAAAUUUGUAUAUAUUCUAUCAAAUUGAUUUUUAAACCAAACAACCUAGUCUUACCAUCAAUCAAAAUAUGAUGCACCAGCAUGAAUGCAGCAUUUCAUGUUUCUAGACCUUAUAGUUUAUUUUAAAUAAUUCCAAAAAUUGUUAUUUUGCCUAAACAAUUCUCAAUAAUUCCUAUAAUUAUGCCAAAUUAAAUACUAAUUUGAAAAUAAAUUUUCAGAGUGUUACAUGCGGUGGCACACAACGUUCUCCCAUAACAUAACUAGCGUUCUUGGCGGGCACGUGGUUAGCGUACCUGUAGAAAACUCAUUUCAGCCCAACUAUAGUAUGAACAUGCAGAGCAAGAAUUUAGAGCUAUACACCCCACACACAUAGACACCACAUCCAUGCAUAUGGUGUGUUACUACCCACAUCAUCGCCCUAGUGACGACAUCGCCUCUUAGGACAGAAUCUCCCAACAUGCGGUACUGCUCCCAGGCACACCAAACAUGCGUGCAUGAAACAACCCUAAUAUCACUUCCCUAGAUCGGCAGUGUAUCCGAUCAUGCUCUCACAGCUCCCACUUACCGAGGCGUAGAGGAAAAAUUGAUCCAUACAUUACCACUCAAAUGAAUGGCACUCAUACUAUUGCACGCCGUAUGAGCGACGAAAAUAUAAAUAUGAUGCAUAACCCCCAAGUCAGUACUUAACUAGCCACCUUAGAGUCCUUAACUGGGCAUAAAAGAUAUGACCAUGGCACACCGUGUAGUUUUCCAAAAACUCAUUUUAACACCUCGAUUAUCAUUAAUUGCAUAGUUAACUUUUAUUAACCGGUUUAAGUUUAGUUUAGAACGUACUUAUGAAAAGUAACUCGCUAAACCUUGCUUCGAUGUCAGCUGUAACAGAACCGCCCAAAUUAUAAGAGAUUAAGCCUAAUGGUGACCAUUUGCACAGUCGAACCAUCGAGCUUAAGCCCAUAUAAUCCCGGUAGUCCGUGAAAUCUCGAAGGAUUUCAAACCACACACAUACAUACAACUAGGAUCGUAAUAAGUUCAGCGGUCAGUAUUCACAAUUACAUCCAGUUUGUAGCAUUCAUCACAUUACAUCAGAGUUCAAUAUAGUUAUUACAAACCAAGUUCUCAAGUAGUGGAAGCUCAUAGUUUUGAAAUAACACACACACACACUUAGAUUGAUACAGUGCCAUUUUGGAUCAUUUCCACAAAAUCAAAAGAGGAGGUAGAGUGACCAUCGCCCUUGGUCUAGUCAUCACCCAUCGCUGGGUACAAGCAGUGAAUGCAAUAACCAUAGUACAUCUGCCCAUCUGCAAAACAACAUGGGAAUAGAACCCUGAGUACGAUAAUGUACUCUGCUAGACUUACCCGUCAUAAACCAAAGACUGUUCAAGGAUCAUGAGGGCUGUAUAGUGGGGUAGCUGAGUCCUUUUGCAAAAACGCACUACUCAACUAGAAGUACACACUAACAAUACCCCUUCUUCUUUUAAUUAGCUCAGGUUAAGUGUUAUUACAUAUCUUCUAGAUUUGCACAUGUACUAUUGCAAACAAGUGUUGCGAUAUGAUGGUACCUCAUCAUAGCAUUCAUAAAUCAUUACUCAUCAUAACCCAAGUGUUUCAUAGUCCUUAUUACGAGGAUGAAGCUCAUGUCAAGUUCUCACUAUCCAGGAGCGAUGGCAAUUCGAAUCGAUUUCUAACCAGGUGGCGAGUUAUUCCCCACACAAACCACACUCACUGAUCAGUGAGCUACAGAUCAACGUAUUACACUAUCUAGGACCAAAUCGCGGGUUCAGCAGGCACCCCCAGUACCAGAGGACCCUUCUUGCGACCGAGGUAUCCAUGGUACACCAAGGUUGCACGCCCUCGUCGUUCUCCUCAACCAUCACUAAUAUAGCGCAUGGCGGCUCGACUCCCAGCCUGGAUUGUGUUCAGGCUUCGCAGUCGGAACGACUUAUCCUUCCAGCUAAGUGUGGGGCAUGCGUUCAACAUGACAAGAGGGCCAUCAAUGAUCGGUCCUUAAUCGACACAGGUAGGGGCACUACAGUCAACUCCACCAUAAGACCCUGUCCGGUCUCAAGUUCAUUCCCACACUUGGUUACUUUUCCUCAUAGCAUUAACAGCUAAUUAAACAGGUGUCCACCUAUAUCUCGCAGGUGACCGAAAAUCAUCCAACUUCUACCGUGCUAAGCAAGCUAAGCAAAGACUCCGAGCCUAUCUACAUAGGACAAGGUCGAUAAAUAGGUGGUAAUAUCAAGGAGUAAGUAUGCAUCAACGGUAUCAAGCAAUUCCUAUCACAUAAAUGCAACAUAGUAGAACAAUCAUAAUAUAUCAAUUAAGUUAGCGAGAAUAGGGAGACUUAGAAUGCUCCGGGGCUUGCCUUUCUCGAACGUGCUAGGCUUCUGGUCCGGGCACUCCUACAGCUCUCCUUCCGGCUCGAGUCCUCUCGGAAGUUCCUGCUCCUGGGUCUCCUCUUGCUCCUUGGGUCCCACCUCGUUCUCCUGCGAGCCUGUAUGAUGCAUGUGUGCUCAUGAGCGGAGUGCGAGAUGCCCGAGGUGCAGUGCUUAUGCAAGUGGGUACCAGAUGCUCAUGACAUGGUGCAUAGUUGACAUAGGUGAUUAUUUCUACAAGGUAGUCAACAUCAUCCAAGAACAUGUACUCAAAUUAAGCAUCUAUUGCAUUCUCUUCUACAAGUUGUUUUCAUGGUUAACCAGCAAGCUAACAUGAUGCUUCAAAGAUACACCAAACACCCUUUAUUCCAUUUAACUUAUGCAUAACAAAUCAUACUUUAUUUGAGUUAUUAUUGGGCCUACAACAGUAGCAUGUACUUCUGCUUAUCAAUAAAUUCUACAAAAAUUACAGUGGAUUACUGGUCAAGCAUAAAGUCUACCACAAAUUUUUGAUAAUAUUUGGACACUCAGUUUGGCCUACAAAAAUUACAAGAUUACUCAAUAUAAUUCAGUAUAAAUACCCUACUGUUGACCAAGUGUCAAACAACAGAUUUCAUAUUUUUAUAAAUUACUUACUAGCAUAAGAAACACCCACAAAAAUUUCCAAAUUAAUUGCAUGAUCUAAUUAUUUAUUAAAAAUCAUCAACCACUGCCAUGCAAGCAAUUAAAUCAUCAUAAUUUAAUUUAUACAGCAAAUAUUGGGUGACAUAUUUUUCCCAGAAGCUAAACAUCCAUGCACAGCUAACAAAACAAGUUUCACAUUUUUCUGAGUCAUAUUCCAAUUAUUGUGCAUUUUCUAAAUAUCAGCAAAAACAUGGAUUAAAUACAUUUGUACAGAAAAGUUGUUCAACCAUGACAUGCAAUUACACCAAAAAGAUAGAUAUUGAAUUAUAGAACACACCAAAACUUAUUUCAUCGUUUUUAGAGCUAUGGAUCUCAAGAUAUAGAUUUAAUACCAUCUAAAUCAUUUUUUGGAAUAUCUUUUAAAACAAAAAUCGACUUAAAACGCUAAGUGCACCCGGAUUCAAACCCUUAGAGGCGCUGACAGGCGGGACCCAUGAGUCAGCUGACCCCACUUGUUAGCCACGCCGUGACUCCGCGGCCAAAGAUCGGCUAGAAUCUCACCGCCGGUGAGGUCUCCAGCGACUGCGGGAGCACCUACGGCUUCGCGAGAGCGAGACGAGCCUAGCCGUGCCCUUUUUGGCACGUGACGAGCACUGGAACUACCUCGCCGUCGAGAAUGGUGGACGCGGCGGUAGAGCGUGCGCUAGCGACGGGGAAAGAUGCGCAAUGCCAAGGCGAAGCUAACGGACCUACGAACGAAAGCAAUGGCGGAAAGGAGAGAGAGAAACGCGUGAGCCGAGAGGUCGUCGGAGCUCUGACUCACUCCGGUGAGCUCUACCGGACACGCGGGGCUUACCGAGCGCGGUUGAGCGCGAGCACGGGGUGCGGAAUGGCGAGACGGACUCGCUGGUGCUUCCGGAUGGGAGGGAGGAGGCCAGAGCUGGCAAGGAGAAAAGCUCCGAGCGUCGGCGACAAUGGCGCGCGGCGGUGCGGCUGCUACUACGCGCGAGCAGAGGGGCGUGUCUGGCAGCGGGGACGGAGGCGGACGCGGCCGGGCGCACCUGGUGGCCGACCAGGGCGCGUCCAAGCCGCCGCAUGCGCGCCACGCGGCGGCCGAGCUCUGUCGGCUCGCCACGGCGGCACGGCGCGGCCGUCCGCGCGCGUGGACACGGCGCUGGCGCGAGCGCGGGGAAGGGGGAAGCACGGGCGCGGGGAGGCCGGGCCGGCUUCGCUGGCUGGGCCGGUUGGUUGGCGCCGGCCCGCCAGUGAACAGCCCCCCUUGCCCUUUUUUUUAAUUUAUUUUUCCCAAAAAGCUUAAAUGAGAUUUUUUAAGCUUUUGCACACUUUUUCAGGGGUUGAAGUAAAUAGAAGCAUUGUUCCUCACAAAAUCCUCUACAACUUUGCUUUAAGAUGCAAAUCCAAAUUCCAAACAAAAUUUGAAUCACAAAGCAAAACUAGUUCUAGGUUUUCAAAUAAAUUCAUUUUAGGGAUUUUUGUAUAAUAUCCAUUUCUCAAUUUCUAUAGCUCCAAAAAUUUCACAAAAUUACUCUUAAUUCUUCUAAAAUAUAUUUCAACCUAUUUUGGGCAUCACAAGGAUUUUUGGAAUAAGCAUACUAUUUUUAUCAUAUUUAAUUCACAUAAAUUAAGCACAUAAAAUCAUACUUGAAUUAAUGCCAUGCUCAUGUGAUGCUAUGCUUAAUGAGAAUGCUUAGGAAAGGGUUUAUGAGACUAAGUGCAUGCUUAACACCUAGGGUAUUACACUGGGCGCCCGCCCUCAUCAUCAGGGCGCCGCCCUGUGCGUGGCCCCGUUGUGGGCCCGCUUCCUUGAGCAUGCUUCUAGAUGCAAACUUUAUUUGAAAAAAUAUAUAUGUGGUCCUAAAACGUCAGAUUAAAAAGAUCAGGCUCUAAUUCUCCAUGGGAAGGUAAAAAUGGAUCACGUCUAUCUCUUCUAAUUCUUUAUUAGGCUCAAAAAAUAAUUUAAGACAUUGACCAUUUACCUUGAAUAAUGUACCUUCGUCAUUUUGAAGUGUGAUAGCUCCGUGGGAUGAUGAAUUGAUUACCUUGAAUGGUCCUUCCCAUUUACUCUAGAGUUUUCCAUGCCCGAAAAGCUUCACCCUAGAAUUAAAAAGUAAUACCUUAUCUCCUGGUGCGAACUCCUUCGUCUUGAUCCUCUUGUCAUGCCACCUUUUGACUCUUUCUUUGUAGAUCUUCGAGUUGUGAUAUGCUUUCUCUCGCCAUUCUUCCAAUUCUGAUAGUUGCAUUCUUCUAUGAUCUCCAGCAACAUCUAGGUCCAUAUUCCAUCUCCUUAUGGCCUAGUGUGCUUAGAAUUCUUGUUCAACAGGUAGGUGGCAAGUUUUCCCGUACACCAAUUGGUAUGGGGACAUUCCAAUUGGGGUCUUGUAUGCUGUCCGGUAUGCCCAGAGUGCAUAAGGUAACUUGUCCUUCCAUGCCGUUCCCAUCUCAUUGACUGUUUUCUGAAGAAUAUUCUUGAUUUGCUUGUUGGAAGUCUCUGCUUGGCCACUUGUCUAAGGAUGGUAGGGAGUAGCGACGUUGUGACGGAUUCCAUGUUUUGAUAGAUAGUGCUUGAAGCAUUUGUCGAUGAAGUGUGCUCCUCCAUCACUUAUCACUACUUUGGGAACUCCAAAUCUUGGAAAUAUGACUUCUUCAAACGUCCUCUUUGAACUGAUGUUGUCGGCGUGUUUGCAAGGUAGUGCCUCUACCCACUUGGAGACGUAGUCAACUGCCACCAAGAUGAACUCACACUUCUUUGAUGGGGGAAAUGGACCCAUGUAAUCUAUUCCCCAGACAUCAAAGAGCUCAAUCUGAAGGUUGUUGGUGAGUGGCAUGGCAUCCCUUGUGUUUAUGUUUCUGUGCCUUUGACAUGGCCCACAUCUUCUGAUAUAUUGCUUCGUGUCCUCAUACAUUGUAGGCUAGUAGAAUCCACACUGCCAGAUCUUUGAAUGUGUACGGAAUGCUCCAUAAUGACCUCCAUAUGAUGAUGAAUGACAUCUAUCAAUGAUCUUCCAUCCUUCCUCGGUGGUCACACAUCUCCUGAGUAAGCCAUCAGAGCAUACUCGGAACAUGUAUGGCUCAUCCCAUAUAUGUGAACGACUUUCUUGAAUAAGCUUCUUCUUGUUCGCUCCUGGUGGUACAUACCCUGAAACCAUAAAAUUAACAAUAUCUGCAUACCAGGGGUCAGACCUGUUAAUCCCGUAGAGCAUGUCGUCCCGGAGUGAAUCAUUGAUGGGGGUGUCCUGUGGAUUCUUAAAAUACAUUAUAGACAAGUGAUCAGCAACAGAAUUUUCUACUCCCUUUUUAUCUUUUAUUUCCAUGUCAAAUUCUUGAAGUAAUAAGAUCCAUCUAAUCAGGUGUGGUUUAGCAUCUUUUUUAGUGAGCAGAUAUUUUAGUGUAGCAUGAUCAGUGUAAACAAUUAUUUUAGCUCCAACUAAAUAAGAUCUAAAUUUAUCAAUGGCAAAGACAAUGGCCAGAAGCUCUUUUUUAGUGGUUGCAUAAUUAAGUUGAGCUCCUGUCGAAGUUUUACUGGCAUAAGCAAUUGCAUGAUGCUUCUUAUUUUUAGUUUGUCCCAAAACUACCCCCACAGCAUUGUCACUAGCAUCACACAUAAUUUCAAAAGGCAACGACCAGUCAGGGGGUUGAAUGAUUGGUGCAGAGAUGAGUGCAUUCUUUAAUAAAUUAAAAGAUGUUAGGCAUGCAUCAUCAAAUUCGAAAGGAGCAUCCUUGGUUAGCAAAAGAGUAAGUGGUCUAGCAAUGAAUGAAAAAUCUUUUAUGAAUCCACGAUAAAAACCAGCAUGGCCAAGGAAGCUUCGAAUUCUUUUUAUAUUCACGGGUGGAGGUAGUUGUUCAAUUACUUCAAUUUUAGCUUUGUCUACCUCAAUACCUCUUUCAGACACUAGGUGUCCAAGCACUAUUCCUUCCCUAACCAUAAAAUGACAUUUUUCCCAAUUGAGGACUAAGUGCUUUUCUUCCCACCUUUGCAAAACCUUGUCUAAGUUUUCAAGACAACUAUCAAAAGUUUUUCCAUAUACAGAGAAAUCAUCCAUGAAAACUUCCAUAAUCUCUUCAAUCAUAUCAGAAAAUAUAGACAUCAUGCAUCUUUGAAAAGAAGCUGGUGCAUUACAUAACCCAAAAGACAUUCUACGGUAAGCAUAAGUUCCAUAUGGGCAUGUAAAAGUGGUUUUGCUUUGAUCAUCGGGAUGGAUCGGGAUUUGGUGAUACCCUAAAUAUCCAUCUAAGAAAUAGAAGAACGAAUGGUUCACUAAUCGCUCUAGCAUCUCAUCUAUGAAAGGAAAAUCAUCAUUUUUCAUGACUUUGUUCAGUUUUGUAUAGUCUAUGCACAUCCGGCACCCUGUGACGGUGCGUUGCGGAUGUUGACACUUGCUAACACCACUUGAAUACUAGGUUGUCAUCCCCAGCAUGACACUAGAGUGUACUAUGGUAUUUAUACGCGCACAGAUAAUCCACAAGCGCACGGAUACCGUUAUAGCUUUUACCCGGUUAAAGGUUUUAUCGUAUCCACAAGGAAACGGGAGAACCAACUACGCUCUAACUUAACCAAGAUAGAUAGAUAGGUGUGAAUAGGAAAGAUGGUAGAAUUGAAUAAGAACAAUAUUAAAGGUAAGAUAACAAUGGGUGAUAAUAUGGGAAUAGAGUAGAGCAAUUCUAGUAUAUGGGCGAUGGUAGCAGAAUAGAGAGAAUAACUAUGGUUUCUCUCUUUUAAAGGGGUAUGUCUAUGUCUGGGACGAACCACGUGAUAAGAAUACACCACAAAGGAUGCUUAUCCAUAGGCCGAUAAACCCUACCCGUCCUGCUAACAAGAGGUGGACUACAGGGGACCAACGUAACUGUCACCUACGCGGCCUACCACACGAUCCAGCUAGACAGGGGAUAUCCACAAGUAAUCUAGGUCGAAGCACCACGCUUACACCUAUACUACAACUCUCACCUAUAGCAUCCUAUAGAUUAGAAGUACUCAAAAGAGUUGUGAACCAGAACAUACAUGAUUAGUAAUUGCAUAAUGAAUUAGAAGUAGAUUACCAGAGUCAUCCCAUGAGCAAGCUUGAUUAGAGCUUGAUCAUGGCGAAGUACAACCAGAGGAAGAACCGACAGGCCGGCCUCUCCUCCAAUCCUCCCUCGCUCUCCAUCUUGCUACUAUCUAGAUCUACUCUAGUUUAGAGAAGAGAGGAGAGCUCUCAUCUCCAAACCCUAGCUUUUGCUCUGUCUAUGAAUAAUGAAUAAUGAUCAAGGGGGUGCCUCCUCCAAGGGCAAGGGGGUCUGGUUAUAUAGUCCCCUCAACUGAAUCUGGGCCGUCGGAUCAAACCGACAUUGAUUGAAUGGUUAUCCUUGAUCCUUUAGGUCGGUGGAGCAUAAUCCGCGAGAUUGAGCGUGAUUGGUUGAAACUCCAGGGUGGGCGCCCAAGGGGGGAGGGCGGGCGCCCUGCCCCCGAGCCCGCUCGGCCUCCCGUUUGUUCCCGUGGCUUCUGGAGUCUUCUAGAUGAUAGAAAAUUACGCGGCACGUUAAUAUCUCUAUGUAAACCCGACGUGUGGGCCUUUCCUCCAUAUUUCCUGAUAACCCCCUGCAGAAAUAGACAAACACCAAAACUUAUGGAAUUCUGUCAGAUGAAACCCUAAGUCUAGGUGUUGGUUGCAUUUGGAUCCUUUUUAUUUAUUUGAUGAUUAAAUUUGAUACUUAAGGACCGUCAACAAACUCCCCCAAGCUUACCUCUUGCUCGUACCGGAGCAAGGAUGGACUCAAGAGUUUUUACAGUGGUUUUAUGCCUUAAAGGUACUCAUGCGUUCAAACAAGAUCUCAUCUCUAGGUUAAGGUCAAUUGUUAAGAUUUAAACUUACUCAUAUUACCUUCCACCAUGGGCCUUGCAACCGUCACUUGUGUCUUGAGCGGUUAAAAGAUAGAACGGUCAAGUCAAGCACCAUGUCUCUUGUUCUUUGAUCAACUAUAGCUCUAGAGUUUUUGAAGAUUUUCAAAUAAAACUCAGAGAUUCCUUGUAUGACUCUCUCUAGUCUCUCUUUUUUGGUAUUUCUGGAUCCUUAUCAAGGCAGUAAUGAUAUAUGCCUUCUCUCAAAGUAUGUGGUAUUUGUGGUAUGAGGCAUAGUGAUAUUGCCUUCUCUCUCAUCCUACUCUAAUAAGGUUUGAUAUCUGGAGUUCAUAGGUGGGAGACAGCUAAUACAUACUUACAAGACAUUUAUUGCAUAGUCAAACCAUGGAUCUAGAGAAACAAGUCAAUAGGUCAAAUCAUGAUGUGCAUGUGUGGCAAAUGAAUGGUGUAUGGUGAUAAUGGUGAAAGCAAUGGUGAAAGUCUAAUUCUACGUUUGCUCUUUUGAGAGGAUACAUACCUUUCUUGCAUUUUGAAGAUUUUUGAGGGGAAUGAGAUGCUCUAUAUUUUCUUUUUCUUUUCUCUCAGGUGGGUAUCGUGUACCCCUAAUUCUACUGUAGGACACUUGUCCAUUUUUACCUCUCGUCUCACUUUUUCUCUUCUUCGAGGUUCCGAGCACUUGCCCCUUUUUAUUUCCUCGUAUUUUUAUUUUUUUCAGAGCACUCACCCUCCUGGAAUAAUGUAGCAAGUGGUAGUAACCAAAAUAUCUUGAGCAUUUAUUUCAUAGGGAAAAACUGGAAUGGGAUAAUGUUUUUGGCUAUUCUCUCCCGGAUAGGAGAAGAAUAAUUUUGGGUGAAUCUGGAGAUGGAAAUGAGUGGAUGUAUGUGGAUGCGUACUUCCGGAGUAGAAGCAACAUGUAUGAGUGAACGUGCAAGUGAAUCUUGAUUUUAACCGCAUGACAAGCUCCUAAGGGUCUACACAGCUUAACCACACUCAAUGCUCAUAAGUAGUAAAAAGUAAAUGUAUGGUUCAUAGUCUAAUAAGCAUGUAUAUGUGGCUGUGGUAGGAUUUUAAACUCUCAUCAUACAGGAACUCAUCAUGCAACAUUUUAAAGAUUUUCAAAGAUAAAAUUCUCCAGAAUUCUAGCAUCUCUAGGAACAGAUAAAUAGCAUCUCAACCUUCCCAUAUCAUAUCUGUUAACGACUUAGACUUUAGAUCAAGUACUCUUCCCACAAGUUCAGGUUUAGAGCAAAUCUUAAUUCAUAACAGUCAUGCCUAAACUUGAGAGAGAAAUCAAUUUUUGAGAACUAGUCAUGGGAGAGCAACUAUUCAUCAUUUCCAUGUGAGAGCUUAUCAU